UAAACCUGGUGGUAUACGUGCCCGCCCGCGCAGCGCGUGAACCGUACAAUAUCCAAAAUUUUUUGAAAUUAUGCUUCCAUCCAUCCCAAACUUUCUAUAAAAUCAGAUCCAUCUUAUUACUAAAAUUCAAAACAAAUAAAAAAUAUAAAAAAAUAAAUCAUGUGAUACCUCAAAAAUUUUAAAAUUACGCCAAACUUCUGAUCAGACAACAUGCGCGCAUCACACCGC
rnacentral:lncRNA from 1 species